UGCAUUUUGGCUGCAAGUCAAUGACUUUAGGAUGAUACAGAGAUGAACAUGGCCCCUGUGCAAGGACCGCACACAAAUACAUGAAAUGGUCCCUGUUUUC
ensembl:snRNA U6 U6 spliceosomal RNA